GCAAGGCGAAUCGAGCGCCGAGCAGGCGGCGCGUGGGCGGUGCCACAUGCCGAGCAGACUCGCCCCCGCGCGCGGCGAGAAACCCUAACGGUGAGCCCCCCACCCCACGGCAGAUCCGAGGCGGGGCCGGAUGCGGGAGCAGCGUUGCGGGAACUCGACGAAACGCGAGAUGUUGGGAUUUUUGAAGCACCCCGUCGUGGUGACGGCUGACAUCAACUUGAACGUUGUGGCUCUGACUGCACUGGGGUUACUGAGCCGCCUAUGGCAGCUCUCCUAUCCAAGGGCUGUGGUUUUCGAUGAAGUGUAUUAUGGGCAGUACAUCUCUUUUUACAUGAAGCGGAUCUUCUUUUUGGAUGGCAGUGGACCACCAUUUGGCCACAUGCUGCUGGCACUGGGAGGUUAUUUAGGAGGAUUCGAUGGUAACUUCUUGUGGAACAGAAUCGGAGCAGAAUACAGUAGCAACGUGCCCGUGUGGUCUCUGCGCCUGCUGCCCGCCCUCACGGGGGCCCUGUCGGUCCCCAUGGCCUACCAGAUCCUGUCGGAGCUUGGUUUUUCUCACUGUGCCGCCAUGGGGGCCGCCCUGCUGAUGCUCAUCGAGAACGCUCUCAUCACUCAGUCAAGGCUAAUGCUUUUGGAGUCCGUGUUAAUAUUCUUUAAUCUGUUGGCUGUGCUGUCCUACCUGAAGUUCUCCAACUCCCAAAAACAGAGGCCCUUCUCUCCGAGCUGGUGGUUUUGGCUGACGCUGACCGGAGUGGCCUGCUCCUGUGCCGUGGGCGUCAAAUACGUGGGUGUUUUCACGUACCUGCUCGUGCUCGCUGUCGCUGGCGUCCACGCCUGGCACCUGAUAGGAGACCGGAGUCUGUCAAACGUCUCUGUGCUCUGUCACCUGCUGGCCCGCGCGGCAGCUCUGUUGGUCGUCCCGGCCGCCAUGUACUUGCUGUUCUUUUACGUCCACCUGAGUCUGGUCUAUCGCUCUGGGCCCCACGAUCAAAUCAUGUCCAGUGCCUUCCAGGCCAGCUUGGAGGGAGGGCUGGCUCGGAUCACGCAGGGCCAGCCCCUGGAGGUGGCCUACGGUUCCCAGGUCACUCUGAAGAACGUUUUUGGCAAACCCGUGCCCUGCUGGCUUCAUUCCCACCAGAGCACCUACCCCAUGAUAUACGAGAACGGCCGAGGCAGCUCGCACCAGCAGCAGGUGACCUGUUACCCCUUCAAAGACGUCAACAACUGGUGGAUCGUAAAGGACCCUGGGAGGCACCAGCUGGUGGUGAGCAACCCUCCGAGGCCCGUGCGGCAUGGAGACGUGGUGCAGCUGGUGCACGGCAUGACCACGCGCUUCCUCAACACGCACGACGUCGCGGCGCCCCUGAGCCCCCACUCGCAGGAGGUAUCCUGCUACGUCGACUACAACAUCUCCAUGCCUUCUCAGAACCUCUGGAGACUGGACAUCGUAAACAGAGACUCCGACGCGGGGGUUUGGAAGACCAUCUUGUCCGAGGUCCGCCUGGUGCACGUGAACACCUCCGCGGUCCUGAAGCUGAGCGGGGCACACCUCCCGGACUGGGGGUUCCGGCAGCUGGAGGUCGUCGGGGAGAAGCUGUCGCGGGGCUACCACGAGAGCACCGUGUGGAACGUGGAGGAGCACCGCUACGGCAAAAGCCAGGAGCAGAAGGAGAGAGAAGUGGAGUUGCACUUGCCCACGCAGAUGGACGUUCACAGGAACCUGAGCUUCCUGGCCAGGUUCCUGGAGCUGCAGUGGAGAAUGCUGACGGCCAAGAGCGACGGCUCGGAGCACAAGUACAGCUCGUCGCCACUGGACUGGGUCACACUGGACACCAGCAUCGCUUACUGGCUGCAUCCCAGGACCAGCGCUCAGAUCCACCUGCUCGGGAACGUCGUGAUCUGGGCUUCGGCCAGCCUCGCCACUGUGGUCUACACUCUGCUCUUCUUCUGGUACCUGCUUAGACGCCGAAGAAAGAUCUGUGACCUCCCUGAGGAUUCCUGGCUGCGCUGGGUGCUGGCGGGGGCUCUGUGUGCCGGCGGCUGGGCGGUGAACUACGUCCCCUUCUUCCUGAUGGAGAAGACGCUCUUCCUGUACCACUACCUGCCGGCGCUCACCUUCCAGAUCCUUCUGCUCCCCGUGGUCUUGCAGCACAUUAGUGACCACCUGUGCAGGACCCAGCUCCUGAGGAGCCUCUUCAGCGCCCUGCUUGUGGCGUGGUACUCCUGUGCCUGUCACGUGUUCAACACGCUGCGCCCGCUCACCUACGGGGACAAGUCACUCUCCCCCAGCGAACUGAAGGCCCUUCGCUGGAAGGACAGCUGGGACAUUUUGAUUCGCAAAUACUAGCAGGACACAAACACGGUGAAGGCGUUAAAGAACGCGGCCUUCUGGGUCCACUAACGCCCAAGAACCUCCCGAACCAGGCUAGUGUGGGACUCACGCUGGAGGAGAAACAGGAAGGGAGCGAGGGUCGCGCCAGCCAAGGCCCCGGUCGCUCUCCCGAGCGCCCGCUGGACCUGCCCCCGGUGAGGUCUUGAGGACGCGCUCCGAACACGGUGGUGUCACACAAGCUACCGGGUGAUAAGCCUUUGAAGAAGCAGAGGUGGGAUUCUGGCCACUGCAGUGAGGACCCUCACUGCCGCCGACUCUCAACCCCCCGCCCCUGCGGGGUUCGGCUGAGAAGGGGAGCAAAUAACCUGGACAAGACUGUCACACACACCUCAGAGAGCAGCCACGGAGCUCGGCCAAGCCCAACUGAGGUCCCAUCCGUGUUACUACACACAGUACUCGCUAGGAGAAAACCAGAAGUGCCCGUGCGGUUUAGCCGGUGGCAACGGCAAAGCGUCGCUUUCACAGGAACGGGGCCACUGGGGAGGGGAAGACAAAGCAGGACAACAUGGAGCCCGGGCACCGUCUGUGCGGCCGCGGACUCUAGGUGUGUGCAGGGAGACGGGCUGCCUUUGGACGGUGCGCCCGACUCGGGAAGGCCUGUCCGCAGAG